rnacentral:tRNA from 1 species
GCACUGGUGGUUUAGUGGCAAAAUUGGACAUUGCCAAGUUGAUUACUUCGACGUUGUCUAGCCCCGGGUUCGAUUCCCGGCCAGUGCA